GAUGAACGCUGGCGGCGUGCCUAAUACAUGCAAGUCGAGCGAACAGAUGAGGAGCUUGCUCCUCUGACGUUAGCGGCGGACGGGUGAGUAACACGUGGAUAACCUACCUAUAAGACUGGGAUAACUUCGGGAAACCGGAGCUAAUACCGGAUAAUAUAUUGAACCGCAUGGUUCAAUAGUGAAAGACGGUUUUGCUGUCACCUAUAGAUGGAUCCGCGCCGCAUUAGCUAGUUGGUAAGGUAACGGCUUACCAAGGCAACGAUGCGUAGCCGACCUGAGAGGGUGAUCGGCCACACUGGAACUGAGACACGGUCCAGACUCCUACGGGAGGCGGCAGUAGGGAAUCUUCCGCAAUGGGCGAAAGCCUGACGGAGCAACGCCGCGUGAGUGAUGAAGGUCUUCGGAUCGUAAAACUCUGUUAUUAGGGAAGAACAAAUGUGUAAGUAACUAUGCACGUCUUGACGGUACCUAAUCAGAAAGCCACGGCUAACUACGUG
rnacentral:rRNA from 1 species